CAACUACUCCCUCUGUCCCAAAUUUCUUGUCUUAGAUUUGUCUAGAUACAGAUGUAUCUAAUACUAAAAUGUGACUUGAUACAUCCGUAUCUAGACAAAUCUAAGACAAGAAUUUUGGGACGAAGGGAGUACUUU
rnacentral:pre_miRNA from 1 species